rnacentral:rRNA from 1 species
AAACUAACCAGGAUUCCCCUAGUAACGGCGAGCGAACCGGGAAAUUUUGAGCCCACUUUGUAAAUCUGAAAGAAUAUGUAUUUUUCCGAAUUGUAGUCUACACAGGUUGGUCUUUUUGACAGAACUAGUUGUCCAAGUGCCUUGGAAGAGGCCGCGCGACAGGGUGAGAGCCCCGUUGGACAGAUUAUAUUCUGUCAGAUGCACAGACCACCUUGUUCGAGUCGGGUUGUUUGGGAAUGCAGCCCUAAUGUGUCGGUGGUAAAUCCCAUCGAAGGCUAAAUACUGGCGGGAGACCGAUAGCGAACAAGUACCGUGAGGGAAAGAUGAAAAGAACUUUGAAAAGAGAGUCAAAAGUGCUUGAAAUUGUUGAGAGGGAAGCGAUUGUGUGAGUUGUUUUGGGGGUGGGGUGAUCUGGGGUUGGCAGAGAGUUUUCUGGCCUCCUCAGCUAUCCCGGCUCCCGGUCAGCAUCGGUUUCUGGAGGGGUAGAAACGCCAGGUUUUGGUUUGGAUUGAAGUUGAUUUUUCAACUUCAGUCCAACGCCUGGCUCAUGCCUCUNUMNNNNUUGAGANNCCGAGGAACUUUCAGUACGGUGCCCCAGAARAACCAACUCUUGUUGGCUCUUCCGCACCGGUUGAUGGAUGCUGGCUGACGCCGCUCAAUCGGC